GACGAACGCUGGCGGCGUGCUUAACACAUGCAAGUCGAGCGGAGCGGCGAACGGGUGAGUAACGCGUGAGUAACUGCCCCCCUCUCUGGGAUAACAGUUGGAAACGGCUGCUAAUACCGGAUAGUGGGGGAUGACUCGCGUCCUAUCGGCUUGUUGGUGGGGUAGUGGCCUACCAAGGCGACGACGGGUAGCCGGCCUGAGAGGGCGACAGGCCACAGUGGUCUAGGAUACGGCCCAAACGCCUACGGGAGGCAGUGGUGGGAAAUAUGGCACAAUGGGGGAAAGGCUGAGGCAGCAACGCCGCGGGCGGGAUGACGGCCUUCGGGUUGGAAACCGCUUUCAGCCAUGACGCGGUAGUGGCAGAAGAAGCACCGGCUAACUACGUGCCAGCAGCCGCGGUAAUUC
rnacentral:rRNA from 1 species